UCCUUGGUCUGGGGGUUUGUGGGGAAUGUUGGCUGGCUCGAGGCAUCCGCGUCCUGGCUCGCAGUCGCAGCGCAGAUCGUGUUUUGCCUGCUACCGGCCGGACAGAUCGAGAGGCGUCGGACCAGGCUUCAUUCCUCGCAAACCGGUGCAUCCCCA
rnacentral:pre_miRNA from 1 species